GAUGAACGCUGGCGGCGUGCCUAAUACAUGCAAGUCGAGCGAACAGACGAGGAGCUUGCUCCUCUGACGUUAGCGGCGGACGGGUGAGUAACACGUGGAUAACCUACCUAUAAGACUGGGAUAACUUCGGGAAACCGGAGCUAAUACCGGAUAAUAUAUUUAACCGCAUGGUUCAAUAGUGAAAGACGGGUUUGCUGUCACUUAUAGAUGGAUCCGCGCCGCAUUAGCUAGUUGGUAAGGUAACGGCUUACCAAGGCAACGAUGCGUAGCCGACCUGAGAGGGUAGUCGGCCACACAGGGUCGGCGACCAGGUCGGGACUCAGAGGGGGGGCAGGAGUGGAGAAUUUUCAGCAAUGGGGAAUAGCGCACAGGGGGAACGCGCCGGAGGGAGUGAAGGCCUUGGGAUGAUAAAGCCCUGUUAUUAGGAAACAACAAGUGGUAAAGAAAAAGUGCCCUUUUUGAGGGACCUAAAUAAGAAGGCCCGGGUAAAUACGGG
rnacentral:rRNA from 1 species